UCUCAUGAAACUUUGAUGUAUUGUUUAUAUACAUGAUAUAUAUUGACUGAAGUUCCCUUUCGAUUUUGAUAAAUAUCUGAUAUCACAUUGAGAAGUUAUCGAAUUUUUCAAAAAGGUGACGGACGUAUCAUGCGCUCAUGGCGUAGCUGUUUAUUUGUUAUGGAAUACUUUUUUCAGCAUUUAUUGUUGUACAGUUAUGGAAACUCAUACAUGCUUGUA
rnacentral:lncRNA from 1 species